rnacentral:piRNA from 1 species
UAGCUGGAGAUCGUCUGCGUAGAGGU